AGAGGAAGGAAGCAUGGUAGUGUGCACGGAGAUUCACCACAAGGUCUGCAUGUCUGCCUGCAGUGACGCCUUCGGGCUUUGAUCUCGCGGGCCUGGAUUUGACCCACAUUU
rnacentral:snoRNA from 17 species